UACGGGGGGGGCAAGCGUUGUUCGGAAUUACUGGGCGUAAAGGGCUCGUAGGCGGCCCUCUCAGUCGGAUGUGAAAUCCCCAGGCUUAACCUGGGAACGGCAUCCGAUACUGGAGGGCUUGAAUUCGGGAGAGGGAUGCAGAAUUCCAGGUGUAGCGGUGAAAUGCGUAGAUAUCUGGAGGAAUACCGGUGGCGAGGGCGGGUCUCUGGGCAACUACUGACGCUGAGGAGCGAAAGCGUGGGGAGCGAACAGG
rnacentral:rRNA from 1 species